rnacentral:rRNA from 1 species
UACGGAAGGCAGCAGUGGGGAAUAUUGCACAAUGGGCGCAAGCCUGAUGCAGCCAUGCCGCGUGUAUGAAGAAGGCCUUCGGGUUGUAAAGUACUUUCAGUCGUGAGGAAGGUGUUAAGGUUAAUAACCUUAGCAAUUGACGUUAGCGACAGAAGAAGCACCGGCUAACUCCGUGCCAGCAGCCGCGGUAAUACGGAGGGUGCGAGCGUUAAUCGGAAUUACUGGGCGUAAAGGGCACGCAGGCGGUUCUAUAAGACAGAUGUGAAAUCCCCGGGCUCAACCUGGGAACUGCAUUUGUGACUGUAGAGCUGGAGUGCGGCAGAGGGGGAUGGAAUUCCGCGUGUAGCAGUGAAAUGCGUAGAUAUGCGGAGGAACACCGGAUGGGCGAAGGGCAAUCCCCUGGGCCUGCACUGACGCUCAUGCACGAAAGCGUGGGGAAGCAAACAGGGAUUAGGAUACC